UUUUGAUUAUUACACCGAAAUCAAAAACCAAAAUACACGUAAAAGUCAAUUGUUCAUGCUGCAUUUUUGGCAGUCAAUAAUACUCAGUUUAACCAAAAUUUUAAAAUAUUCAAAAACGGAUUCGCACCCAGGGUUUACAGAAUACAAAGUGAUGACAACCGUCGACGUCAUGGAACCAACUUCAUCAUACUUGUAUACAGAUUGGGCGGAACUUGAAAUCUAUAUUAAAAAUAAAUAUUUUUUUCUUCAUAAAAUCUAUAUUAUCAACGGCACUGCAGUCACAGAUUUAGCGAUUGCAAGGUGGAAGGUGUUUGCUGUUUUGAUCAAACCAUGGUGACCGAAGACCAACAAAUUUGAAUAUGAGCUUUACACAAAGCAAUGCUUCAUCUCUGCUCAAUAUUACUAACUAUCCGAUGCAUUCAAGUUUCCGUAAUAACAAAAUUUCAAGUUUUUAACCAAAAAAUUGGAUGUUUAAAUUUAUAAAAUGGGCUGUUAACGAGUAUACUGCCAUAUUUGGAAUAAUUAGUAUAAAUCACUCACACAAUUUUUUUUUUUAAUUUUGGUCCACAAUAACCCACGGCUUCGAAGUUUUAAACACGAUUUUUUUAACGAAAUAUGUAUUAUCCAUUUCUCAAAGGCUUUUUAGCAGACGAGGAAAAUAUG